UACGUAGGGGGCUAGCGUUGUCCGGAUUUAUUGGGCGUAAAGAGCGUGUAGGCGGCCAGAUAGGUCUGCUGUGAAAACUCGAGGCUCAACCUCGAGAUGUCGGCGGAAACCAUUUGGCUAGAGUCCGGAAGAGGAAAGUGGAAUUCCUGGUGUAGCGGUGAAAUGCGCAGAUAUCAGGAGGAACACCGGUGGCGAAGGCGGGUCUCUGGGCAACUACUGACGCUGAGGAGCGAAAGCGUGGGGAGCGAACAGG
rnacentral:rRNA from 1 species